rnacentral:tRNA from 1 species
CUAAAAGUAGCAAAACCUGACACUGCAAAAGCCCUAAGCUCUUUUAACUAGAAGUUUAAAUCCUCUCUUUAGC